AUACGAAGGGAGCUAGCGUUGUUCGGAAUUACUGGGCGUAAAGGGCGCGUAGGCGGCCUUUUAAGUCAGAUGUGAAAGCCCCGGGCUUAACCUGGGAACUGCAUUUGAUACUGAAAGGCUUGAGAUCGAGAGAGGAAAAUGGAAUUGUGAGUGUAGAGGUGAAAUUCGUAGAUAUUCACAAGAACACCAGUGGCGAAGGCGGUUUUCUGGCUCGAUACUGACGCUAAGGCGCGAAAGCGUGGGGAGC
rnacentral:rRNA from 1 species